CCCUUAGAUGUCCUGGGCCGCACGCGCGCUACACUGAUGCAUGCAACGAGUUUAUAACCUUGGCCUGAAAGGUCUGGGUAAUCUUUUGAACGUGCAUCGUGAUAGGGAUAGAUUAUUGCAAUUGUUAAUCUUGAACGAGGAAUUCCUAGUAAACGCGAGUCAUCAGCUCGCAUUGAUUACGUCCCUGCCCUUUGUACACACCGCCCGUCGCACCUACCGAUUGAAUGGUUCGGUGAAGAUCUCGGACUUCGAUAUUUAUUCUUUAUUGAGUUUAUAUUGUUGGAAGUUAUCUAAACCUCAUCAUUUAGAGGAAGGUGAAGUCGUAACA
rnacentral:rRNA from 1 species